AACGUAGACGUUGCACAACUCAUGUUUACGGUCCGUGGCACUGGAAGAAGCAGCUUCAUUUCUGGAAAAAGUGUUCACAACCAAAGGAUUGAGCGGCUCUGGAGAGAUCUGUGGGUUGCUGAGACCAGCACUUACUACAAUGUUCUCCACCACCUUGAAGAAGAGGGAUUCCUCAGCAUUGCGAGUGUUCAACACCUCUUCUGCUGCCACUAUGUAUUUUUACCAUGUAUACAGGAUGACCUGGACACUUUCUGCAGUGGUUGGGAUAAUCAUCCUUUAAGAACAGAAAGUAACAUGACUCCUAACCAGCUGUGGGCACUGGGUCAUGCACGUCAUCCCAUUCCUGAACCAGAGAACAUGGAGGGCAUGGAGAUUCCACAUAUUGAGUGGGAGGAGAGUGGACUUCCUCAUCAGGACCAUUCAGACGUCGUUGUACCAAACAUCAACUGCCCACCGAUAGAUGCACAAAUGGCAGCUUUAAGAAGUGCAGUUGACCCAAGAGCUGAAUCAGACUCCUUUGGCUCUGAUGUUUAGCAGCUGUUGAGUUUUGUGAACAUUUUUUUCCACAAUAAAGGGGGAAAAAAAUCUGUUAAGAGGCCAGUGGGAUCAGUUUCAUCAGUGGUUUAUUUGAGAGCAAAAUCUCAAUGUGUUUUUUUUUUAACAAAAACAGUAAAACACGUGACAUUCAAGGCCACAACAAACUUCCUGGUCUAACAAAACCUUUUUUAUGAACAUAAAACAAACCCAAGAAUUCACAGGAGCCCAAAUCCUGUAUGACAAGUCUGAAUACAGGCAAGGAGAUCGCAUCUGAAAGAUCUGUAGUCUCUGUAAUGACCUGGAAUUUUUAAGGUCUCGUAGCAGGUGGAGGCUGUGGGAUAGCUGCUUCUGACGAUCUCCACAGACAGGCUCUUCGGUAAAAUCUCCCAUCCAGUCCAAAAUUUGGCUAAAUUCAUCAAUUCACCUGCCAUUCCUGUAAGCAUUAAUGAAGCAAAAUCAGAUUAUGAUU